AGAGGCUACAGUCCCAUGAUAUGAACGCUAAGAGCUCAACCAGUCUCUUUACUUUUUAUCAUUGCGUUUGGAUUAUCGGUGUGACUAGGCUGAGGCGUCUCUACUGCAGUGAGAAUCCUUUCAAUUGUGAGCAGGUCGGUUGGGAUUUGUAGGACUAUGAAUGCUGAUUUCAGUCAUGUGAUUUCAGAACGUAAUGCGUGGCUAAUGCAGGAAGCCUGGAAAAGAGAGAGGCACAAAGGAAACCUAACAGACAAAAAUCACAUGCGAUGCCAUCUAAAGGAACGGAGGACAGGAAAGAUCAGCCAUGCAAGGGACCGACUCUCGCAAGCAAGAUUCUCUCCUGAACGUCAACCGGCUGUGACAUUGAACUUUGUUCACACCUAGAGAGAGUGCUUCAUGUUCUUGCAAGGAACACGUUGUUCUUACAGUUGCAAUUGCCAGCAACUUCACACCAAUUUCCUACACCUUGAUGCGCACCGAUGGGAGUGGAGGUGGUUAAUAGCACUGGUGAAAGGGGGAGAGGAUUUUAGAAUGGAUGAGCUGUGAGAUCCUGCUGCGUGGCACAGGCAACUAUCGGAUGAUAUACAUGAUGGAAGGUAGAAUGAGAAGACGGUGUGUAUAUACGUACGGCUGGGUCACGUUGCUGAACAGCCGAAACUGGCAAAACAUGG
rnacentral:lncRNA from 9 species